GAUGAACCCUAAAAAGUUCUGCAAACAC
rnacentral:tRNA from 1 species